rnacentral:rRNA from 1 species
UGGGCAACCUGCCCCAGACACAGGGAUAACCCCGGGGAAACCGGGGCUAAUACCGGAUACUCCGGUCGAGCCGCAUGACUCGAUCGGGAAAGCUCCGGCGGUCUGGGAUGGGCCCGCGGCCUAUCAGCUUGUUGGUGAGGUAACGGCUCACCAAGGCUUCGACGGGUAGCCGACCUGAGAGGGUGAUCGGCCACAUUGGAACUGAGACACGGUCAAGACUCCGUACGGGAG